CAGCCCUAAACGAUGCGCGUUAGGUGUAUCGGUGACCACGAGUCACCGAGGUGCCGAAGGGAAACCGGGAAACGUGCCGCCUGGGAAGUACGGUCGCAAGGCUGAAACUUAAAGGAAUUGGCGGGGGAGCACAACAACGGGUGGAGCUUGCGGUUUAAUUGGAUUCAACGCCGGAAAUCUUACCGGGACCGACAGCAACAUGAAGGCCAAGCUGAAGACUUUGCCGGAUUAGCUGAGAGGAGGUGCAUGGCGUAGACGUCU
rnacentral:rRNA from 1 species